rnacentral:rRNA from 1 species
GAUGAACGCUGGCGGCGUGCCUAAUACAUGCAAGUCGAGCGAACAGACGAGGAGCUUGCUCCUCUGACGUUAGCGGCGGACGGGUGAGUAACACGUGGAUAACCUACCUAUAAGACUGGGAUAACUUCGGGAAACCGGAUCUAAUACCGGAUAAUAUAUUGAACCGCAUGGUUCAAUAGUGAAAGACGGUUUUGCUGUCACUUAUAGAUGGAUCCGCGCCGCAUUAGCUAGUUGGUAAGGUAACGGCUUACCAAGGCAACGAUGCGUAGCCGACCUGAGAGGGUGAUCGGCCACACUGGAACUGAGACACGGUCCAGACUCCUACGGGAGGCAGCAGUAGGGAAUCUUCCGCAAUGGGCGAAAGCCUGACGGAGCAACGCCGCGUGAGUGAUGAAGGUCUUCGGAUCGUAAAACUCUGUUAUUAGGGAAGAACAAAUGUGUAAGUAACUCUGCACGUCUUGACGGUACCUAAUCAGAAAGCCCCGGCUAACUACGUG